GUCGGCCAGAAAGAACUGGAGAAAAAAAAUAUUAUUUUAUUGAAAUUUAUAGAUCUCAGAGAUGACCAUCCUUGCGACUUUGUUGCGACUUUGUUGCGACUUUGUUUUCAUCUUUGAGCUCACAGAUCUUAUUCUUUGAGGAUCUGGACUAUGUUUUGACUUUUAUCUGACUUUACGACCAUGUCAUGAGUGGACUUCAGAUCGCAUUUGGUAUUCUAGACUCGGGAUUUAGUUGAGUUGGUGGUUCAUGAGUUCUUAGAAUGGAGCAGAGAAUAAAAAUUCGGGAUUGUUAUUAUCUUCUAGGUGAAGGUUAAAUAAAGUCUUUAAUUUUUAGGUUAUAAAUUGAGAGUUUUGUAAUUAGGAGACUUCUUUCCUUUAGGUCAAGUUUUAUAUCAAGUUGAGGAAUAUUUGUUUUAUCAAGUUAAUUGGAUUAAUGUUGACUUUUGGGAUUAUAGAGAAUAUUUAUUGUUGUUUUUAGUUCAAUAAAGAGA